UUUAGUGCAGCGCGGUUGUUGUGUGUGGAUCGUGGGUAUUGUGGAUAUCUAGCCAGCUAUAUUUUCCUCCGUUUGUUUAUAUAAGUUUGUUAUUUUACUUUGUUUUUUUUAUCCUUUUCAGGGAUAAUUUAGAUUUGAGUUUUUAAUGGAGAAUCUUUUGCCUAAAAAUGAUCUUGGAGAACAUAAAAAACAGUUCCAGGCCUGGUUGGAGGUGGAAGCGUGCAAAAAGAACUCCACAAUAAUGUCCCAAGAGACCUAUCACGACAUUGUUUAAUACUUGAAAAAACAAAAGAGCGAUGUAUCAGAAAGUACUGUAAGGCGUAUCAGACGAAACAAGUAUGUUUUGAUGAGUUACCCUACACUUGGGUUGGUGGAUAUUUUAUGUGUUCCUAGCACUACAGUUGAUGUAAGUCAUUUUUUAUUCUCCUUUAUAGUUUAAUUAUACUGCAUUUUAUUACACAUUCAUGUACCUAGGUAUAUAUUAUAUAUAUACUUUUUUAUACUUUUUAUGGUGUUUGUAAUUUUUACAUUUUCCAUUGUGAGCAAUGCUUAGCUAUUCGUCAUCUCUAAAGGCCAAAAAUAUGAACAACAAACUACAAUAGCAGAAGAGUAAAGAUACAUGUUACUUAAUACCCAUGGAUUGUUUCUUUGGCAAUUUCAGUUUUGGCAUGACCUCUGAAUUAUGUUUCAGUUACUGUGGUAAACUGAGAUGGUUUUUUAUCCUGUUAUGUAAUUUUUCUUUUUUUGUUAUUUCUGUAUAUAUACCAUAAUUCUUAGAUAAUAAAAUCAAGAUUCAUAGACUGACUUUCGAUUCAGUCAUCCAAUUGGUAGGAUGUCCUGUUAACAGGAUAAUGCAGGUUCGAAUCCUGUCUGAAUCAGUUCUGUUCUUUAUAAUGGCUAUAUACAGUAGAUGUUUUUGUAAGUAUGUAUUAUAUAUAAUCGUUGAUUUGACAUAAUAUUUAUAUAUAUCUAAAUGCUUUUUUCAGUGCAACGCAACUCUGGGAAAUUUUAAGAGGGUAUGCACAGGAAACAAGAUGUUUGACAUAAUUGAAGGAAUCCAUAGCAAGGAACUCAUCCAUUGUGGUUCAAGAAAAACUUUUGAACAGAACAAGAAGAUCAGUCAACGCGAGAUUUAAAUGCCAGGUGGAAAACUUUCGCGAAACGAAAUCACAACCUAAUGCAACGUUUGCUUUCUGA